rnacentral:tRNA from 1 species
GCAGUGAUGGUUCAGUGGUAGAAUUCUCACCUUCCAUGCAGGAGACCCGAGUUUGAUUCCCGGCCAAUGUA